rnacentral:rRNA from 1 species
GAGUUUGAUCCUGGCUCAGAUUGAACGCUGGCGGCAUGCCUUACACAUGCAAGUCGAACGGCAGCACGGGAGCUUGCUCCUGGUGGCGAGUGGCGAACGGGUGAGUAACGCAUCAGAACGUAUCCUGGAGUGGGGGAUAACGUAGCGAAAGUUACGCUAAUACCGCAUAUUCUGUGAGCAGGAAGGCGGGGGACCUUCGGGCCUCGCGCUCUUGGAGCGGCCGAUGUCGGAUUAGCUAGUUGUGAGGUAAAGGCUCACCAAGGCGACGAUCCGUAGCAGGUCUGAGAGGAUGAUCUGCCACACUGGAACUGAGACACGGUCC